AUGAUAUCAACAUGAUCAUUUAUCGUGUCCACAUUCUGGGAGAGACAGUGACUUCAGGGACUCCGGCUACAUCAUCAGCCAGGGAAGCUCAUCCUCUGUGUCCACCUGCUGUUCCUUGUAAUAGGUUCUGGAGAAAUAAAAUCAGCUGAAGCAUUAUGGGUAGAAAAAGGCCAAAGCAGAAUCACAACAGAACUGGCAGAAACUGAAUAAAGGAGAGUUCCAUUAAUAUCCAAUCCCCACUGAAGAGCAGAAGUUACUUCGAACGGCGCCAGGCAUACGUGAAGUGCUCAGUAAAUGUCAGUAUGAUAGGAUGACGUCAUUAUCAUCCCUGUGAUAACAAGACCUCCAUCAUUGGUACCAGCCCUCCUUGCAUGGACUUUUCCUUCAGGCAUCAUAACCUCAUGGGACUGGAUGCAUUAGUUGCUGGGCAGAAAGUUUGUAACAGAAAGAGAAAGUCUAUAACUCACCAAUUAAUUAGGGAGAUAAUCAAGAAAAGGAUUUCUCCACUUUUUUUCUUGAUAAAGCAGUUUUAUGCUUUCCUGAAGAUGGAGAGUUUCAUCCAAACCCUCUUUUAUGGCUACCUCCAUACCUGAAUGCCUGAAGCUAUUCUUCAUUCUUCCGAUGUAUUUGCAAGGCUGCUUUGGCUCC